ACGAUGUUGCCUAGAUUGGAUAAUGUUCUAGAGCGUCUAAUCCUGGCCAGGCGUGC
rnacentral:miRNA from 1 species